CUUUUUAGCAGGGGCCUUACGGGUUCGCGCUUUGGUCCUGGAGGCCUUAUCCUAGCCUCCUCUGUAUCAGCGCCACCAGUCUGGGGCCCGAAAGGAGGGAGCUUUCCCUCUGUCCCCCAGCCUUUGGACUGUCACCAAACAAGCCAUUCGUUCACCAAAUACUUAUUAAGCGCCUACCAUGUGCCUGACAAGGGAGAUGUAACGAUAGAGUCUCUCUCUCUGCCACCCAGGCCAGAGUGCAGUUGACGCAGGGCAGGGGAGCCCCGAAGUGGAGCAUAGUGUGUCCGGAACUGGUGGGUUCUUGGUCUCCCUGACUUCAAGAAUGAAGCCACGGACCCUCGGGAAAUGAGGCUUCUCCCCAGGACCAGCAUUCCACGAAGGCAGCCCUUUUCUAGAUGGAGAAAACAGAACCUGAAGACACCCGUUUCCCUAAACUGCUCUCGCUCAUGUUUCUACAAGGCCUGGAGCUGAUAGGAAAAACCUCCCUUCUUUCCCAAAUGGUCCCCAGCUGCCCCGUUCACUGAAGGCCCUGCAGUCAGGAACGGUCAGGACUUCACACCCAGUUGUUGUGGGUGUUUGGCCGACACGACACUUCCUCUUGUGUGAUUCAUGGACCCGCAGCAUUGCGUCACCUGGGAGCUUUUGGUAUUGAAGACUCUCAGGGCUCACCCGGAAGGACCUGCUGGGCCAGAAUCUACAUUUUAACAAGAUGCCCAGAAACUCCUGGAGGGCAGAGGCAUGCCUGCCAUCUUCAUCAUUGCAUUACCACCACCCAACACUAUCGGGGGACCUGCCCUGAUAAUCAGUAAAACCAACACAAAAC
rnacentral:lncRNA from 1 species